UCCGAUGAUCAUGGUAUUGAUCACCAACACCCUCCUAAAAGCAUUUUUCUCUAAAACCACCAUAUGUAUCCAGACAUUCAGUAAUUGGCGAGGGCUUAUCUGUUCCAUUUCGGGCAUGGAGAUUGCCUAAGGGAAAAACAGAUGUGAAGGACCUUGAUCCAGAUCGACCCAUUCCAGAGCUGGGGCCUGUGCCAUUUUCUUAACUAAAGUUAUCAGGUCUCCAGUUUUUUCCUGGAGACGUCUCUGGACAAAUGGCUGAUUUCUCAGGAGAAGAACCUCAAAACUUGUUAACGUUUCCAUAGUAAGAAGAAUAGACCCACAGAACUGGAGAGAAGAUAUUAGAAUGUGUUGAAAGACACCAGCGAGAAGAAUGUUGUCAUUUUGCGGUCAGGAUUUUCUCUUUGGAAAACUCAGGGCUCCUCACAUUGGAUACACCUUUUCAGUUGAGGAGUGGAAUUCCAUGUUUCUCAAGGAUUCAUCUCUUCUCAUGAACAAUAUUUACAACUGCAGCAUGCAUGCCCCAGGCUGGGAAAAGUACAAGACAUUUGCCACACCUUAGAUAGAUGCCACUGGAAAAACUGAGAUGCUGUAGCUCUCAACUGACUCUGCUGGCGGAAGCAGGAGUGAAAAUGCUGGAAGGGGCUGAAUUUUUAAUUUCUUCUUAAUCUUUUUGUGUUAGGGAGAAAAUAAUUUUAACAAUUCUAUGGGUCUAGUCUUCCUACUCUAGAAAUGAUAAUAACUUAGAAGAAGCUUAUAAACCAUAAUAUGAAAGAAGUGCAGAAAGAGAGAAUCUUCUGUUAGAGAUUGCAACUGCCCUAACAAAACUACAUUUUCCAGGGCAUAUAUAUCAAGGCAGUUCAAUGUCUGUACUAUAAACAUGACUUUUCAUUAAUGUUUUUAAUUAUUCUAUUCUAUUCAUUUAUGACAUUUGUAUCCCACUUUUCCAGCAAGAGCGGCACACUUGCUGAGGUAGCUAGGUUGAAAACGGACCUAACAUCAUAAAGGUGUCAUAUGGAUCUAACUUUUCUGAGUUUCAGCUCUCAUAUUGACAGCGAGUGUGGUAUAGUGGUUAGAGUGUUGGACUAGGAUCUGGGAGACCAGAGUUCAAAUCCCCACUCAACCAUGAAGCUCACUGGGUGACUUUGGGCCAGUCACAAUCCCUCAGCCUAACCUACCUCACAGGGUUAUUGUGAGGAUAAAAUGGAGAGGGAGGAGAACCAGGUACUCCACCUUGAGCUCCUUGC